rnacentral:lncRNA from 1 species
AGGUCCACUUACUAGCUUUGUUCUCAAACUUCAUCACAACAUAUUCAUCUGAAUCGGACUUUCCCUUCCUCCUCAUCAGGGCAGUUCCGGCUUCGGAUACUCUGGCAAUAAAGGAGAGCGUGGGUCUCAGGGGCCUCCCGGGCUCCCUGGUCCCCCCGGUCCUGCAGCCGAGGUGGUUCGACUCGGGGACGGCUCCGUCGUGCAGCAGGUGUCUGGACCCCCCGGACCGACGGGACCAGCGGGGUCAAAUGGGGCUGCAGGACCUGCAGGAACCGAUGGAGAGCCUGUGAGUAAACUCUUGAUUGUCCACAAACGUUCGUUUUCUUCAUCUUAAUGUGACUCACUGAUUGUUCUUCUUCCUUCAGGGAGAUCCAGGAGAGGAUGGGAAAGCUGGUCCCGCUGGGCCUCAAGGUUCCCCAGGAAACCCAGGAACUGCUGGUGCUAAAGGCCAAAAGGUUGUUCUUAAACUACUAUUACAUUAAGUUACAAGGAUUUCUUUAUCGUGAUAAUGUGUGAUACUUCCAGGGUGAGCUUGGUGACGGUCAACCAGGACCCAGAGGCCCCCCGGGUCCACCGGGCCUUCCUGGCGCUGGCACCGGGGACCGCCCGGUACGUGCACUCUUCAAACACGCUUUCCUUUCUUUACUGUUUGCAGACUUGUUCACUGUGUUUCAUUAUGUGCUGACAGACGUUCUUUGACAUGGAGGGCUCAGGAUUCCCAGACGUGAACAAAAUCCGGGUAAGUUGAUGAUCGUUCAAAUUGGAAGUUGAGUUUUUAUAUAAUACAUACAAACAUAACGAGUUUGUGUUUUGUUAUCCAGGGUGCCAGCGGUCCUCCGGGUCUCCCAGGACCUCCCGGUCCUCCUGGGAUCUCGGUGGCACUCGGGGAAAAUGGCCCCGUAGCUUUCGGACCUCCUGGACCGCCUGGACAGGACGGAAUCCCCGGCCUGCCGGGCCCUCCUGGUCCCUCUGGCAGACCGGGUCAACCAGGUUCUGGAGGAGUCAAAGGUGACGGUGGUGAUCUCGGUCUUCCGGGAGCAGCUGGAGAAAAGGGUGCUCAGGGUGACCUUGGACAGACGGGUAUAUCAGGAGAGAGUGGGCUGGCAGGGCUUCCAGGUCCCAUGGGACCCGUUGGACCUGCCGGACCCCCUGGGCCACCGGGGCCUUCGUACCGCGGGGGUUAUGUGAGUAGAGCUUAAACACAUGCAGGUGCAUGCACAGAGGUUCAUUCACAAUCUUGAGCAUUUAGUGAUUUAGGUUUGUUAAGCCCCUUUCCCCCCUCGACAAAAACAACACUGACGCCCACUAAAUAUUCCUUCUCUCCCCUCUCUCCUCACAGGGUAACCAGGGUGAUUACGAGGUGAACAACGGCUCACCUGGACUCAACGGCCCACCUGGACCUCAGGUAGCCGAUCGCACACACACAGGAAGUGAAACCUUCUCUUUACAGUCGAUGCCCUGCUUCAUGUUUCCAUGUUUUCUGUCUUCCAGGGUCCACCUGGUA